GACGAAGGAUGCAAGCGUUAUCCGGAUUCAUUGGGUUUAAAGGGAGCGUAGGUGGCCUUGUAAGUCAGUGGUGAAAUCCUGUCGCUUAACGAUAGAAUUGCCAUUGAUACUGCAGGGCUUGAGUACAGUUGCCGUUGGCGGAAUAUGACAUGUAGUGGUGAAAUACAUAGAUAUGUCAUAGAACACCGAUUGCGAAGGCAGCUGACGAAACUGUAACUGACACUGAGGCUCGAAAGUGUGGGGAUCAAACAGG
rnacentral:rRNA from 2 species